ACUUAAGCAUAUCAAUAAGCGGAGGAAAAGAAACCAACAGGGAUUGCCUUAGUAACGGCGAGUGAAGCGGCAAUAGCUCAAAUUUGAAAUCUGGCUCUUUUAGAGUCCGAGUUGUAAUUUGCAGAGGGCGCUUUGGCAUUGGCAGCGGUCCAAGUUCCUUGGAACAGGACGUCACAGAGGGUGAGAAUCCCGUACGUGGUCGCUAGCCUUUGCCGUGUAAAGCCCCUUCGACGAGUCGAGUUGUUUGGGAAUGCAGCUCUAAAUGGGAGGUAAAUUUCUUCUAAAGCUAAAUACUGGCCAGAGACCGAUAGCGCACAAGUAGAGUGAUCGAAAGAUGAAAAGCACUUUGGAAAGAGAGUCAAAUAGCACGUGAAAUUGUUGAAAGGGAAGCGCUUGCAGCCAGACUUGCCUGUAGUUGCUUAUCUGGACUUUUGUCCAGUGCACUCUUCUGCGGGCAGGCCAGCAUCAGUUUGGGCGGUUGGAUAAAGGUCUCUGUCAUGUACCUCUCUUCGGGGAGGCCUUAUAGGGGAGACGACAUGCAACCAGCCUGGACUGAGGUCCGCGCAUCUGCUAGGAUGCUGGCGUAAUGGCUGUAAGCGGCCCGUCUUGAAACACGGACCAAGGAGUCUAACAUCUAUGCGAGUGUUUGGGUGUCAAGCCCAGACGCGUAAUGAAAGUGAACGGAGGUGGGAACCCUUUGGGUGCACCAUCGACCGAUCCUGAUGUCUUCGGAAGGAUUUGAGUAAGAGCAUGGCUGUUGGGACCCGAAAGAUGGUGAACUAUGCUUGAAUAGGGUGAAGCCAGAGGAAACUCUGGUGGAGGCUCGCAGCGGUUCUGACGUGCAAAUCGAUCGUCAAAUUUGGGCAUAGGGGCGAAAGACUAAUCGAACUAUCUAGUAGCUGGUUCCUGCCGAAGU
rnacentral:rRNA from 1 species